CUGCAGACGUCGCAGAGGGAAUCUGUGCACCGUAUCAAAUGCCUGCGUUAACAGCCAACUGAAAACUCUUGGCCAGAACUCUAGGCUGAAGCUUGCAUGGAUUGGUGUCUGGAAACCUAAACGUUGUCAGGGAUAUCGCAAUGUUAAUGGAAGCUGUUUAAGCUAUUCCAACUUUGGCUGGGGACAGAGAAAGACUAGAGGAAGGUGGUGUGUUGCCAUUAAUGUAUCAACUGGACAAUGGAUUUCUGUCAAUUGCUGCGCCAAACUUCCUUUCAUAUGCAGACGUUGAGACUUCAUACU